rnacentral:rRNA from 1 species
AUUGAACGCUGGCGGCAUGCUUUACACAUGCAAGUCGAACGGCAGCGCGGGCUUCGGCCUGGCGGCGAGUGGCGAACGGGUGAGUAAUACAUCGGAACGUGCCCAGUAGUGGGGGAUAGCUCGGCGAAAGCCGGAUUAAUACCGCAUACGACCUGAGGGUGAAAGCGGGGGAUCUUCGGACCUCGCGCUAUUGGAGCGGCCGAUGGCAGAUUAGCUAGUUGGUGGGGUAAAGGCCUACCAAGGCGACGAUCUGUAGCUGGUCUGAGAGGACGACCAGCCACACUGGGACUGAGACACGGCCCAGACUCCUACGGGAGGCAGCAGUGGGGAAUUUUGGAAAAUGGCGAAAGCCUGAUCCAGCAAUGCCGCGUGUGUGAUGAAGGCCUUCGGGUUGUAAAGCACUUUUGGCGGGAACGAAAAGGACUGUGCCAAUACCACGGUUCGAUGACGGUACCCGCAGAAUAAGCACCGGCUAACUACGUG